GACGAACGCUGGCGGCGUGCUUAACACAUGCAAGUCGAACGGAAAGGCCCUGCUUUUGUGGGGUUCUCGAGUGGCGCACGGGUGAGUAACACGUGAGUAACCUGCCCUUGUCUUUCUGAUAACUUCAGGAAACUGGGGCUAAUACCGGAUAGGAGCUCCUGCUGCAUGGUGGGGUUUGGAAAGUUUCGGCGGGAGGGGAUGGGCUCGCGGCUUAUCAGCUUGUUGGUGGGGUAGUGGCAUACUAAGGUUUUGACGGGUAGCCGGCUUGUGAGGGUGACCGGCGUCAUUGGGACUGAGGUAAGGCGCAGACUCCUACGGGAGGCAGUAGUGGGGAAUAUUGUGUAGUGGGCGGAAGUGUGAUGCAGCAAGGCCCCGAGCGGGAUGACGGUUUUGUGGUUGUAAACCGCUUUCGGGUGUGACGUAGCGUGAGUGACGGUAAUGGGUAAAAAAGCACCGGCUAACUACGUG
rnacentral:rRNA from 1 species